rnacentral:rRNA from 1 species
ACGGAAUAGAUACCCAGGUAGUCCACGCCCUAAACGAUGUCUACUAGUUGUCGGGGAUUCAUUUCCUUGGUAAACGCAGCUAAACGCGUGAAGUAGACCGCCUGGGGAGUACGGCCGCAAGGUUAAAACUCAAAGGAAUUGACGGGGACCCGCACAAGCGGUGGAUGAUGUGGAUUAAUUCGAUGCAACGCGAAAAACCUUACCUACGCUUGACAUGCCAGGAACUUUCCAGAGAUGGAUUGGUGCCCGAAAGGGAACCUGGACACAGGUGCUGCAUGGCUGUCGUCAGCUCGUGUCGUGAGAU